GAGGGUAUAGUUCAGUAGCAAAGCAUGUGCUUAACAUGCAUGAGGUCCUGGGUUCAAUCCCCAGUACCUCCA
rfam:Camelus ferus unplaced genomic scaffold scaffold369, whole genome shotgun sequence.